rnacentral:rRNA from 1 species
GAUGAACGCUGGCGGCGUGCCUAAUACAUGCAAGUCGAGCGCGUUUCGAAGGUGCUUGCACCUUCAAUGAAACGAGCGGCGGACGGGUGAGUAACACGUAGGUAACCUACCUUUAUGACUGGGAUAACCACGGGAAACCGGGGCUAAUACCGGAUAAGAUUUAGCUUCGCAUGAAGCAGAAGUAAAAGGCAGUUUCGGCUGUCACAUAAAGAUGGACCUGCGGCGCAUUAGCUAGUUGGAGAGGUAAGAGCUCCCCAAGGCGACGAUGCGUAGCCGACCUGAGAGGGUGAUCGGCCACACUGGGACUGAGACACGGCCCAGACUCCUACGGGAGGCAGCAGUAGGGAAUCUUCCGCAAUGGACGAAAGUCUGACGGAGCAACGCCGCGUGAGUGAAGAAGGUUUUCGGAUCGUAAAGCUCUGUUGUUAAGGAAGAACACCAUGGAUAGGAAAUGAUCGAUGGAUGACGGUACUAACCAGAAAA